rnacentral:rRNA from 1 species
CGGAGGCAGCAGUGAGGAAUCUUAGACAAUGGGGGAAACCCUGAUCUAGCCAUGCCGCGUGAUCGAUGAAGGCCUUAGGGUUGUAAAGACCUUUCAGAUGGGAAGAUAAUGACUGUACCAUCAGAAGAAGCCCCGGCUAACUCCGUGCCAGCAGCCGCGGUAAUACGGAGGGGGCUAGCGUUAUUCGGAAUUACUGGGCGUAAAGCGCACGUAGGCGGACUGGAAAGUUGGAGGUGAAAUCCCAGGGCUCAACCUUGGAACUGCCUUCAAAACUCCCAGUCUUGAGAUCGAGAGAGGUGAGUGGAAUUCCGAGUGUAGAGGUGAAAUUCGUAGAUAUUCGGAGGAACACCAGUGGCGAAGGCGGCUCACUGGCUCGAUACUGACGCUGAGGUGCGAAAGCGUGGGGAGCAAACAGGAUUAGAUACCCGGGUAGUCCG